CCCAGCCACGACACUGAACCCUGGGCUGGGUCUUGGUGAACUUGCACUCAAAGGAGCGAUCUGGGAAGUGAAGUUAUAGGAGAUGAUUGUCUCUUUAUCUGCUACCAGGAGAGUCCUCGGACUGUCACACUUGACCUUAUUGAAUCAUCGCCCCCAGCCUUCCACUGUCUUUCUCAAAUGCAUCAGUGGUUCUCAGCAACAGCCAUCCUACUCCUGUUUCUCCCCACUGCCAGCUUCCCAAAGACCUGAGACACUGCCCUCCAAGUGCAUCCCUGUCCAUGGGCAUUCCAUCCAAGUUCAUCGUGGGACUCAGAAUGAUUGCACGGCUCACCUGGGCCAUCAGGGCUCCACCACGGUGACGGAGUCCUCAUGGCCACUGGCUGGUGAGUGAUCUAACUCCAAAAUCCUAAGCAGAGUUGGCUUCCCCAGACCGCAUGUGUACGUUGGCAGUGAUAGCGACCCCACAAGGACAGAGGAACCCACUGUCC